UUCUUUGUACUUUUUCUCCCUGGAAGCCUGUUCAUUUGUAAAAAGUUCAGAUUUUUCUCGUCUUUCGUUAGAUUCAUAUGAAAUUAGGGGUUUCUUUUGGCUUGUUCGGAAAAUCUUAAUUUCUAUGUUUGGAAUUAUAAGAUUUUUGCUACUAGUUAACCAAUGGAUGAUCAUAUUUGUGUAAAUUUGUAAAGAAACUUGCGGAAUUUCCGUAACCCCCAUCUCCAUGAGGAAUAAGCACUUGUUUGAGAUUUUAUAUCUCAGUACAUUUGAGUUUAGACCCAUUGACUGAUAUUUUCCUGGAGAUAAAGGGUACAGAGCAUGCACGUAAUCGUGGCAACAUUGUUGUUUAAAUAUUAAAGAAGCCUACUUUUUUCUCUUCUGGAAUUCGGCGUCUUUCAGAUUUAUAGGAAUUAGGUAAUUAGGAAGUUAUUUUUUGGGAGGCUUUUUUGCAUUGAGAGGGGGUGGUUCAGACAAUUUUUAUUUUUUAUUUUUAUGACUGGGGAAUCACCCCAUGGUAGAGUCCUUAGGACUCACCCAUGGAACCUAAACCCCCGGGGAGACUAGCAUUACAGCCCACUGCCAUGGCCUCCCACUUAACUCGCAGUUUGAUCUCAAGGGAAAUCCAACGUGUGACAUGGGGCACAUGCAUACAAGUUCACCCUUACUAAGGCUACUCACGGGUGGGUGGGGGUGGUUCAGACAUUAAAGAAUGUGUAACUGUUUGAUCGUAGUAAGCUUGUAGUUUUGACUAUAUAACGACUCCUUUGUUUUUUUGUCAUUCUGUUAUUGGGUUUUUACUCUCUCCAGCAUUUUCCUUUUGUAUAUAGAUGGGAUCUUUCCUUUUAUUUUUGGUGGCGUCUCCGUAGCUUAUGUUUUAUGAAGUCUUUUGCUAGGUUUGGUAGGAUGAGAAAUGGACAGACUAUUGCCCUAUCUGUUCUUCUAUAUACAGUCUAUUUCACGCACGACUUGCGCACUCCCAGAUGACGUGGUGGUAGUUUAAAAAAAAUGAAAACAUGAAGUAGACAACAAGACGACGGAUGCAAACCCACGAUGCAAAUACCAGGCUCCAUUUUUCCCGGCAUUUGACCACUUUGCAUUGUCGCCAAUUGUGGGUGUCUCUCUCAUCUCUGCCACCAUUUCUCCCCCAUGUUGCCACAUCUACGCACUCGCCAGAAGUGAUCUCAUGCCGGCUCUCUCUCUCUCUCUCUCUCUCUCUCUCUCUCUCUCUCUCAGAUUACCCUCUCUUGCAAACUUGCUCGUACUCGUGCAGUGGAAGUUUCUGACUCCCUCUCGCACGAUGCAACUUGGGGUGGAUGGAACACAACAGGAUAGCUUGGCUGGGACACAACCGGACCUGUAUGGAGCUGUGCUUGGGGAUAUCGAACGAGAUCGGAAUGAGGAGUGAUGUAAUCUGGUCUUGCAGUUUACUGCAGCUAAUUAUAUGAUCUUAAAUUACAUUGAUGAAGACAAGUAGUGCCUCUUAUUUAUGGGAUUUUCGAACCACCUUUUUCAUGAUGAUUAAGGAGUUUUUCUCAUUUAUUUGGAAGCACCGCCUACUAUUUUUUUUCAUUUUUUUAAGUUUAUAUGAUUUUUCAUGUAAAAAGCACCACCGACUUUUGCUAUUAAUGGAUAUCAACUUCUUGUC